AAGACCUAUGCAGCCCCAGUGAGAAAUCCAUCAAUACAGACAGGAAGCAUCCGGGACCUGGCGACAACAACAGAACACUUGCUUUGUUGACGUAAUAAGACAAUCAUGUACAAAAACCAAUAGUGACGGUCUACCAAGUGUCCAAACCUGAGCCGAACAGGAAAACCACCCUGCUAUGUCUGGCUAGAGACAUGUUUCCAGACGUGGUCAAGAUUUCAUGGAAGAUGGUGGAUACAAACGUCCGAACAAUGGAGGUGCCCAAAGCAGAGAUGGAAGAGCUGGUGCAGAGGGAGGAAGGGCGGACGACAAGUAUGAUCAUCAUUGAUAAAGAGAAGACGUACAAGAACAAAUACAUCUGUUCUGUGGAGCAUAAAGGGGGCCCUCAAGAUGUUGACAUACCAAAAGAGGAACCAACUGAAGCUCCUCCAACCACCAUGGCUGCACCAACCACUCUGCAUGUUACCUGUGAGGAUCCAACUGAAGCUCCUCCGUCCACAAAGGCUGCACCAACUGCUCUGCAGGCUACAAACGAUUCCUUCCAGUCGACAUGCAGUCUCAACCUGGCCUCUCUGGUUUACACAGUGAUGAUCGUGAAGAGCAUGGUGUACUGCUGUGCGCUCUCUCUCCUGCUGCACAACAGGAACCUGGGAAGUAGACCCAGCACCAGUAGACCCAUUCACUGAAAGGAUAUGCCCCAGUAUGGAUAGAGUUGUAGUGGGCUGGGAACAACAAGGAUUUUACACCCCAUUGUGGUCUCAGAUUUAAUUUGUGUUCCUUAAAUUUUUUUCCUGCUUUAUUUUUUAAAUGCUUAAAUAUUGUGAGCCAUAGAUUUACACUUCAAUAGCUAAUUAUGACAUUAAUUGCAGAACAUUUAAAUUGAGUAUAUCGUGUUUCCCUCCUUAACAUUUAAAUUAAUAUCACAUUUUACUUUUGAUGAUUGUGGGAGCUACACACUGCAGACACUUGAAUAAAGAUUAAAUUAAGGUUUUCAGAAAAUUAAGGAUAGGACACCUUUAAGGUCGAUCAUGAUGGUUAAAAUGUAGAUUGUUUAAUGAAUGUUGCCCUGCAUUAUCUGUCAUAGUGGGAAAUUACACAACUGUAUUUGAUUUACACAAAAUAUUGAACUAAAUAUCAAACCUAUCAAAAUAUUUUAUUAUUAAAUAUGCAUGACCAUGAGUUCUAAAUAUGUAUCAUUAUCCAAAAUAAUAUUUAGUAUGUUGUCAUGUGUGUAAUGAAGCGUAGUAUAUAUAUUUUUAAGAAAUUAGAGUACGUUUUUUAACAUAGUAUUUUGUAUCUUAAUUCAAUUAUUUAAUUAAAUUACAAUUAAUAAUAAAAUCCAGCUUUUAUUUGACUUUAAAGAACUAUAUUCUGACUGCUUAUUGAGCAGACAAAAUGCUAAAUGAGUGAAAUCAUUCAUUUGUGCUUUUUUACAUUUAUACAAUGUUGUUGUGUUUUUACAUUGAUAAGGCUUGUUUAAAGAGUGAUAUUUUCCUUGCGUAAGAGGGCCUAUCUAGUGAGCAGUGUUUCUCAAAAGAAGCAUAUCCUUUCAGAUAGGGAUGGGUUUAAGAAUCGCUGCCUUCGUGGUUCAACUGUACUGUUUUGUAUGAGGAAACUGUCACCAUAAUAGAAAAUAAAAAAGUUACUUAAAAACCCUAAAACAUUGUAUUUCUUUACUAUAAGAUAAUCUAUUAUUUUUUGUGAAAAUGUAUUU
ensembl:lncRNA